UCCAACGACGUAAACAGGGUACAGCAGUUAAUGGUCACAAAGGUCAAAGGUCGUGUAAAUAUAUUCAACAGAUACUUUGGGCAGAAUGUAUACGAUUCAUCCCAACAACGCGGAAUGUUUUUAUUUGCGAUUGCUAUUGGUGAACGUUCAAGGACCGAGAUCGUUCGAAUAUUUGAAAAUAGUUGAUGGUCAUUUAUGUGAGACGUAUCGCGAGGCAUGUCACCUACUGCAUUUGUUGGAAAGCGGUUCACAUUGGGAAUCGACGCUUCAAGAUGCAUGUGUUUUAUCUUUACCACAACAAAUAAGAAUACUUUUCUCGAUUAUAAUAUCAACAUGCAUGCCAUCGAAUCCACUGGAAUUAUGGAACAAAUAUCAAGAUUACAUGACGGAAGAUAUUUUGAUUCGGAUGCGUCGUACGUCAAAUAAUCCAGAUUUGAUAAUUACCUUGGAAAUGUACAAUGAAGCAUUAAUAAUCAUUGAAGAUAUGUGUCUCAAAAUUGCGCAUAAAGCAUUAUCACAGUUAUCUAUGAUUUCACCUGAUCGUCCGAUGCAUGAUUUGAUGGAUCAAGAAUUGCAACACCAAUUCAAUUGUGACGCAUUGAUUGAAUUUGUGCAAUCAAAUAUUGACAAAUUAAAUGAUCAACAAAACUAUGUAUAUCAAACAAUUUUGCAAGCUGUUUCUGACAACACUGGCGGAUUAUAUUUCUUGGACGCACUUGGUGGAACCGGAAAAAUAUUCAUUAUUACAUUGAUUCUGGCAGCUAUUCGAUCACAGAAAAAAAUUGCUUUGGCCCUUGCUUCUUCUGGAAUUGCUGCCACUUUAUUGGACGGAGGACGAACAGCACACUCUGCAUUAAAAUUGCCAUUGAACAUGCAAGUGAGUGAAAUGCCGACAUGCAAUAUUUCAAGAAAUUCAGCAAUGGGAAAAGUCUUGAAGUAAGCAGCGAUUAUUCUGUGGGAUGAGUGUACAAUGGCCAAAAAAAAAUCGCUCGAAGCAUUGGAUCGAACUAUGAAAGAUUUACGCGGAAAUCAACAGCGGUUUGGUGGUGCCUUGAUAUUGUUAUCAGGUGAUUUUCGACAAACAUUGCCAGUUCCUUCUCGAUCAACUCCUGCCGAUGAAAUAAAUGCAUGUCUGAAAUCUUCUGCUCUCUGGAGAUUUGUGAAAAAAUUGGCGUUGAAUGUCAAUAUGUGUAUCCUAUUACAAGACGACUCAUCUGCACAUCAGUUUUCGGAACAAUUGUUGGAUAUCGGAAAUGAUCACCUUGCCCGAAAAUUUUUGUACAAUUUUGCAAACAAAAGAAGAAUUGGUCGAAUGCGUUUUCCCAAAUAUCAUUCAGAAUCGCAGAAGCCAUGAUUGGUUAGCAGAACGUUCAAUAUUGGCACCGAAGAAUAUACACGACAAUGCAAUGAACUUUAAAAUUCAAGAAAAAUUGCCAGGUGAAGUCAUAACUUAUAAAUCCAUUGACAGCGUUAUGGAUGAAGAUGAAGCUGUGAAUUAUCCAAUUGAAUUUCUGAAUUCAUUGGAACCAGCUGGUACACCGCCACAUCUUUUGAAUUUAAAGACAUGCCAUUCAAUUUCAAACGUCUGCAAUUUCCGGUGCGUUUAUCAUUUGCCAACACUAUAAACAAAGCAAAAGGACAAACAUUUCAAAUAUGCGGAGUAAAUUUGGAAGAAUCAUGUUUUUCACAUGGGCAAUUAUAUGUUGCAUGUUCGAGAGUCAGUACUACACAUCGUUUAUUCAUUCAUGCACCGGACAGUAAAACUAAGAACGUUGUUUAUCAAAAUGUUUUAGAUUAGAGCUCGAAUUUUUAAGAUUUACAAUUUAUUAUAUACGCUUAUGUAAAAAUAAGAGGAAACUGAAGAAUAAAUACUUUCAAUGUUUGAAGAGUAUUACUUUGUUGAAUUUUUUAUUGAAUCGCUAUGACAAUUUUCUU
rnacentral:misc_RNA from 1 species